rnacentral:rRNA from 1 species
UUACUUGGAUAACUGUGGUAAUUCUAGAGCUAAUACAUGCAAAUAGAGCUCCGACCGGGAACGGAAGGAGUGCUUUUAUUAGAUCAAAACCAAUCGGUGGCGGGUUUCGGCUCGUCAUCGUACAAUUUGGUGACUCUGAAUAACUUUAUGCUGAUCGCACGGUCUAGCACCGGCGACGCAUCUUUCAAAUGUCUGCCUUAUCAACUGUCGAUGGUAGGUUCUGCGCCUACCAUGGUUGUAACGGGUAACGGGGAAUCAGGGUUCGAUUCCGGAGAGGGAGCCUGAGAAACAGCUACCACAUCCAAGGAAGGCAGCAGGCGCGCAAAUUACCCACUCCCGGCACGGGGAGGUAGUGACGAAAAAUAACGAUACGGGACUCAUCCGAGGCCCCGUAAUCGGAAUGAGUACACUUUAAAUCCUUUAACGAGGAUCAAUUGGAGGGCAAGUCUGGUGCCAGCAGCCGCGGUAAUUCCAGCUCCAAUAGCGUAUAUUAAAGUUGUUGCGGUUAAAAAGCUCGUAGUCGAAUUUGUGUUCCGCAACGUUGGUUCAUCGUUCGCGGUGUUUACUGGCGUGUAGCGGAACGUCCUGCCGGUGGACUUAGCUCACUUUCGGGUGUGCGGUCCAAUUCAAUCCUGCCGCGGUGCUCUUCACCGAGUGUCGAGGUGGGCCGGCACGUUUACUUUGAACAAAUUAAAGUGCUUAAAGCAGGCUAUAAUUUUGCCUGAAUAUUUUGUGCAUGGAAUAAUGGAAUAGGACCUCGGUUCUAUUUUGUUGGUUUUCGGAACACCGAGGUAAUGAUUAAUAGG